GAUGAACGCUGGCGGCGUGCCUAAUACAUGCAAGUCGAGCGAAUGGAUUAAGAGCUUGCUCUUAUGAAGUUAGCGGCGGACGGGUGAGUAACACGUGGGUAACCUGCCCAUAAGACUGGGAUAACUCCGGGAAACCGGGGCUAAUACCGGAUAACAUUUUGAACCGCAUGGUUCGAAAUUGAAAGGCGGCUUCAGCUGUCACUUAUGGAUGGACCCGCGUCGCAUUAGCUAGUUGGUGAGGUAACGGCUCACCAAGGCAACGAUGCGUAGCCGACCCGAGAGGGUGAUCGGCCACACUGGGACUGAGACACGGCCCAGACUCCUACGGGAGGCAGCAGUAGGGAAUCUUCCGCAAUGGACGAAAGUCUGACGGAGCAACGCCGCGUGAGUGAUGAAGGCUUUCGGGUCGUAAAACUCUGUUGUUAGGGAAGAACAAGUGCUAGUUGAAUAAGCUGGCACCUUGACGGUACCUAACCAGAAAGCCACGGCUAACUACGUGCCAGCCGCCGCGGUAA
rnacentral:rRNA from 1 species